UACAGAGGGGGCAAGCGUUAUUCGGAAUUAUUGGGCGUAAAGGGCGCGUAGGCGGCUUGGCAAGUGGAUGGUGAAAUCCCUCGGCUUAACCGAGGAACGGCCGUCCAAACUGCUUCGCUUGAGACCGGGAGAGGUGAGUGGAAUUCCCAGUGUAGCGGUGAAAUGCGUAGAUAUCGUAAGGAACACCCGUGGCGAAGGCGGUUCUCUGGGACGGUACUGACGCUGAGACGCGAAAGCGUGGGGAGCGAACAGG
rnacentral:rRNA from 1 species